GAUGAACGCUAGCUACAGGCUUAACACAUGCAAGUCGCGGGCAGCAUGAAUUUAGCUUGCUAAAUUUGAUGGCGACCGGCGCACGGGUGAGUAACGCGUAUCCAACCUUCCCCUGUCCACGGGAUAGCCCGUCGAAAGGCGGAUUAAUACCGUAUGAGGUCACAUGACGGCAUCAGAGUGUGACGAAAGGUUUGGCGGACAGGGAUGGGGAUGCGUCUGAUUAGUUAGUCGGCGGGGUAACGGCCCACCGAGACGACGAUCAGUAGGGGUUCUGAGAGGAAGGUCCCCCACAUUGGAACUGAGACACGGUCCAAACUCCUACGGGAGGCAGCAGUGAGGAAUAUUGGUCAAUGGACGGGAGUCUGAACCAGCCAAGUAGCGUGCAGGACGACGGCCCUAUGGGUUGUAAACUGCUUUUAUAUGGGGAUAAAGUGAGUUACGUGUAGCUUAUUGCAGGUACCAUAUGAAUAAGGACCGGCUAAUUCCGUG
rnacentral:rRNA from 1 species